rnacentral:rRNA from 1 species
UACGUAGGAUGCAAGCGUUGUCCGGAAUUAUUGGGCGUAAAGAGCGCGCAGGCGGUGUAUCAAGUCAGAUGUGAAAGAGGCCGGCUUAACCGGCAAGGGUCAUUUGAAACUGAUAGACUAGAGUGCAGCAGAGGAUAGCGGAAUUCCCGGUGUAGUGGUGAAAUGCGUAGAUAUCGGGAGGAACACCAGUGGCGAAGGCGGCUAUCUGGGCUGCAACUGACGCUGAGGCGCGAAGGCUAGGGUAGCAAACAGG